AUGAUCCUGCCCGGUUCGGGAAGCCGGCAUCAUGAACCUACAUUUCGUUAAAGGGAGUCCGUCCGUGCAGUUGCCCUGCGUGCAGGCCUCCCGCCACAUAUGUGGCGGACGUUGGAAGCCCAUAAAGCAACGCCGGGACACCCACCUGCUCACAAGCGGGUCAGAACUGUCGGCCAUCGGCCCAUGGUGGGAUUUUU
rnacentral:other from 1 species